rnacentral:rRNA from 1 species
UACGUAGGUGACAAGCGUUGUCCGGAUUUACUGGGCGUAAAGAGCGCGCAGGCGGUCGAUCAAGUCGAGUGUGAAAGCCCCCGGCUCAACUGGGGAGGGUCAUUCGAUACUGAUCGACUCGAAGGCAGGAGAGGGUAGUGGAAUUCCCGGUGUAGUGGUGAAAUGCGUAGAUAUCGGGAGGAACACCAGCGGCGAAGGCGGCGCUCUGGGCCGGUACUGACGCUGAGGAGCGAAAGCGUGGGGAGCAAACAGG